ACUCCUGAUGGAUAUGUCGUAAGUAGCACUCCCACAUCAAGAGCUGUAUCUCUUUCCAAUUGAAUAGGCCAGUCCUAUUUGUACAGAGCAAAUCAUGCAGCAAUAUUAGUUUCAGGAUUAGGAGCAUACACGUUACAUAUAUAUAACAAUAAUCAUAUAUCAGGCGCCUCAUUUCCAGUAAAAUGUUUCCUGUAGGCUGUUGUCACAAUGUACAAUUACCAACAAUUUCGGCACAUUGGGCCACCCGGAUGGCAGCUUGGGUGGACAUGGGCAAAGAAGGAGGUUAUAUGGUCAAUGGUUGGGGCUCAGGCCACCGAACAGGGUGACUGCUCAAAGUUCAAGGGCAACAUUCCUCACAGCUGCAAGAAAGAUCCCGUGAUCGUUGAUUUACUUCCAAGCACACCAUAUGACAUGCAAAUUGCCAAUUGCUGCAAGGCAGGAGUUAUAAGUACAAUUAGUCAGGAUCCAGCAAAUGCUGCUUCCUCAUUUCAGCUCAGUGUAGGUCUUUCUGGGUCUACCACUAAGACUGUCAAGGUGCCGAAGAACUUCACCCUUAGGACUCCUGGCCCCGGUUACACCUGUGGGCGUGCUAUUGUUGGCAAGCCUACUAUAUUUUUCUCUGCAGAUGGCCGCAGGGCAACCAAAGCUCUAAGUAAGUUGCCCAUUUCUGACGAACCUUACAUUUUGAUUGCUAUUAGUUCUCUUAGAUAAGGUUUGCAGAAAAUAAGUUACGAGCUAAAAUCAUUGUAUUUCAGCACGCCUCUAUUUCUUAAUCAGGUUUUCAAAAUAUAAGGUUACAUUACUUGUCAGUAUAGUUAAAAAGCAAGAGAGAUUUGUUCACCUAGCUAGAAUUUAUUUAUUGUUGUCGAGGAUAAGCUACUGCUAGGUUUAAUAAAAUGUCGUUUGAUUUCUGCAGUGACAUGGAAUGUGACCUGCACGUAUUCCCAAUUUCUUGCUCAGAAGACUCCGUCCUGCUGUGUAUCUCUUUCAUCGUUUUAUAACAACACUACUGUGAACUGCCCAACAUGCUCCUGUGGCUGCCAGAACCCAAGUGGAUCAAACUGUGUGAAGUGAGUAGAGACAUUCUUCACGUCUAUAUAUUCUUUCCCCUGCAUAUAUACAUUGUAAUAAACUCGGUGCAUUUGACAGUAAGGGUUCGCCUCGCCUACGAUCUGCUAUUGAUGGCCCUGGCAAAUGGAGUGGCGAGCCUCUUGUGGAGUGCACUUCCCACAUGUGCCCCGUAAAAAUCAACUGGCACGUGAAGCAGAACAGCAAGGACUACUGGAGAGUGAAGAUCACCAUCACAAACCUCAACUUCCGAAUGAACUACAGCGAGUGGAACCUGGUUGUUCAGCAUCCAAACUUCGAUAACAUCACUCAGUUGUUCGGCCUCAACUACAAACCACUCACUCCAUAUGGGGGUGACAUAAGUGAGUAAACUUGCUGUCUCUUUGUUUCAAUGGAAGAAUGGGAAAAUUGGAGUCACCCUCUCUCUGAAUCUCUGGUGUUGUUUUCUGUCCCAUUUCAGAUGACACGGCAAUGUUCUGGGGUGUGAAGUCCUACAAUGAUGUGCUGAUGCAAGACGGUAAGCUUGGGAUGGUGCAGUCAGAGCUCCUUCUCCGUAAAGACUCCCGGACUUUCACAUUCGAAAAGGGAUGGGCCUUCCCACGCCGGGUGUACUUCAAUGGUGAUAACUGUGUCAUGCCAGCUCCUGAAAAUUACCCAUCGUUGCCAAUGCAAGCCUAGUAAUAAGGCUGUAACGAAAGAACCGUCGUUCGGUUUGAUUACGGCUGAUUGCCAUUUACAAGGAAUAAAUGUCACGGGUUGAUUACGUCGCUUGGAGCUCCACUUUUGCUAACGAAGACCGUUCGUAUUUAGGACAAAGGGCUGCUUAUGAUUUUUUUUUUAUGAUUAUGAAUUGCGAUGAGUUGAAUAAGCGAUGCCCAGUUCAAAUUAUGUGAAUUUGUUUGGUUGGAACAAUGCACCACUGAUACCCCUGAUUGGGCCGAAACGCGUGGUCGUCAUUGGGCUCAGUUGGGAAGCCCGCGCGCUUGUUUCUGGCGAAUUGACUUUACCCAUGUGGCCGUGUGUGGUCUUUGUCACGUACUCUUUUCCUUUGGCGUGACGUGAAAUUCGGGUUAGCUCCUCUGAAAGAUGAGAGAGGCAACAACUAUUGCUAAUCUUGGAGGGGAACACUACUAGUGCUAAUCUUGGGGGAAACAACUAUUUCCAAUAGGAAGCUUACGUGUACGUACUAUUCUUGAGUGCGAAACGUGCUUCUCUCAUGACUCACAGAUUAGUACGAUCGAAGUCCUGAGGUAGCCUCGCGAUUCGCGAAUAGCAUCAAGCUAUGCGAAUGCACAUCAUGAUGGUUCGAGACAAUGGCAGCCGUGUUACCAAAAUUAUCCUAGGAUCAUUGGAACGCAUACUGUUGCCAGUUUUUUUCCCCUGUCGGUGUUACUUGUGUCACACAAACAAUGGCGUUAGUGUUAUUCUGUUAGCGUUUCCCCACACUGAAGAAUUGCUGACUCCUUUAUUUCAGUAGUACGACUGUACGAGUUACUAAACCUUUCAAGUUUUCCUCUGCUUAUAAAUCCAUAAAAAGAACAUACGCCACUGUUUCCUACCUUUUGGCUUCUUUUUUCUCAGCAUCUCAUAUCAACAAAUUACCAAAAAUACCGACGUGUGCAUUCAGUCAGGUUCAGUCUUCACACACGUGCUUGCGUAAAGGGUGGCUCAAUAUGUUCCAAGCUCAUCACGAGGGUGGCUCUGUGGUUGAUCAGGCAAAGGUGCCCUUCGUUCAGAGAAAAGAAGAAUGUAUUGGCAAACAGAACGUCCACAGAGAACUCAUGGAACACAUUCUCUUGUCCCAAAUCAUUGAGCGUUCAUUACAUUGAAUUAUUUUAUAUACAGCAAGUAGUACCGGUGACAAACCAAAGCUAUUCGGCAUGUUUCUCUCUUACCGUUGGUACAUGAAAAAUCACCGAUGUUAAUUCGCUCACUGUUUUAGCCAUUGAAGCUUAUCAGCCGAAUCUAUCAGUCAUUGAACAGUGUUUUUCUCUACCAACAAAUUAGCCAACAGUACUUUUGCCAUAACUUAUCAGCAAAACGAACAAGACGUGAAGUGUUGUCUCCCUCCCAAACCUUUGACGCAGGAAAUUAAAAUAAAUCUCAGCCUAUUCACUUAAGCUUAUCUAUCGAAUCUGUAAGUCAUUUAGCAUUAUUUUUCUCUCAUAAUAAAUUAACAAACAGUACUUUCAGUAAUGACUUUUCAUCCAAACAAAUAGGUCAUCUGGUGCUGGGAAUUGCUAAGAGAAUUCUAUUAAUUUCAAUUCUGUUGGACACGAGCCCUUCAAUCAUGAUCUAAUCUUUCCUUGAGAAACUAUUAUAUAAUUAUAAUUAUAGAUAAACUAAUUGCCUCCCUACAUAAAGGCAGGCCCGUCUUAGAGGGGGUGCAGGCAGUGCGCCGGCCGAGGGCCCAUGACACUUGGGGGCCCAUGAGUAUAGGUCUUUAUAGUAUGUGUAUUUGACACAUAUGCAGUCUGCGGCAAUGAGUUGUCUCUUCGACUUUGUGUGAUGGCGUCUUGCUGUGGCCGUUCCAACGUUCCUAAUUCCGUCCGUCUCUAUCUCUGAUCAUAUUUGGCCAGCUAGCGGCAACAGGCAGGCGGCGCUAUGGUCCCUCCAUGGCUCCGUACCUGACUCCCUGUGGUCUGUGCCUCUACGGAUGCCAGAUGGUGAUCGGUGAAGAUUGAAGCGUGAAGGCUGUACUAGACGAUAAGUGAUUGUUUGAUAUACAAAAUUAUUUUGCUUUUCCACCUUGCAAUUGGAAUCCAAUCCAUACAAGCAAUUAGGUAUCAAGUGAUUGAAGCGAAUAGUUGAGGUAACCAUAAUAGUUAUUUUAAAAAGCGCUAAACUAAAUAUAUGUUGCAAGUUAAAAGGAACUAAAUAUACAUUGCAAGUUAACUAUUAUUAAUAGUGCUAUAUACCUCAAUCGUUAUAAUAAAACAUUAGAUUGUUGGGCUUUUACUAUAUUGUUUGCACAAGGGCCCUAAAAAUCAUUGAGACGGCCCUGCAUAAAGGCCAUGGCCUGAUGGCCAUAUACAUGCACAGGCUAUCAUCUCCUGAUACAUUCAGCCAUGCAGACGUUUAAACAACCAAGCUAACCUGUCCACCGGAAUCCUUCCCACUCACUGACACGCAGGUCCCACCCAUGCAUCAGUUUCCCCAUCUACAAAGCUGGACUCGUUUCUCGCUCCCGUUAGGACAGAGGGAUAUACUACAACACAUGGAGGAGGGAGGUUGUUAGAGCUGGCCCAUAGACUACAUACAGCUGGAGAUCAAUUAAAGAAUGAAAUAAAGUAAACAUAAUAAUAUAGUGUUGUUAAUGUCUCGCAUGGUCGCCACGGGUUGUUGGUACGUCCAGGUUGCAGCACCUACCGUCGCGAUGGCGAUGGGGUCUACAGCGUUGGUUGAUGCACCGGGCUCACGCGCUCGCCUCGUCUCGGCCUCUCAGCCUGCAAUUUGCGUGGUGCGUCGCUGGUGAUCGAUCGAUCAGUGGAGCACUGGAGCUGCUCGUUUUUUUUUUCCCCUUUCUCUUUUGGCACCCCCACCGACAGAAAGAGGGAGGAAGGGCUCUGUCGUCCCGCGUUUCUUUAUUCCUUGCAAGUGUCGGCUCGCAUGUGUGCGUUUAGCCUCUCCGCAUGGGGUCAUCGCCCGCUGUCAUUACUCGUUUCUUAAACUACAUCGUAAAGCUUUGCCACUGAUUGAUCGUUCCGGUUUUGCCCCUGGUGACUGGGACUCGCUGGCUGCAGCUUUCAGUGAUAUUACUGACGAACUAGAGGGAGAAAAAUACAUAUUACAUUUGUUCGUUUGGCUGAUAAGUCAUAGUGGAAAACAUUUUUAGCUGAUUUUUUAUAAAAAAGUAUUAUUGAAUAGCUGAUAGAUUCGGCUGAUAAGCUCAAAUGAAUAAGCUGAUAUAUAUGGCUCCACAAUCAUAGCAGUAUAUGAACCAACAAUGUGAGUCCGGUUGUCCCUCAUGUUUUGUUCUAUUUAUUAAGGAUUCAAACAUUUAAACUAAGGAUUCGAACGUUACCGAACGUGCUACUUCCAAAACUCACGUGUCGGUGUUGGAUACUCCACGGUAGUAUCACCACAUCUUGUACCACGAUUAUCGCAGUAUCACCACAUAUUGUACCAGUAUCCGUAUCCUCGUAUGCCAUUUUGAUUUGAACCCACUCCUGCUAUCCAAAGGCAGUCCUGUGUGCAUUUCAGUUUCCCACUUACCGUUAAUCACCGUCCCUGCACAUACUAGCAGCAAAACAGGUCUAGAUUCUCAGUUUUCACAACCGUUAAUCACCUGUCCUUGUCCCUAAGCGAACAUCACCAACAGCUGUGUGUCACCAGGGGCAUUCCCGUAAAUGCACGCCGGAGGUUGAGGCGUCACAUCUACUCCCUCGCGGCAAGAAACCGUUCCCGAUAUAACCCCACGCCCCCGCACCGAGGCGAGCUGCGCUGCGGAGCAGAGUGAGGGGAGUGUCGUGCUGCCGCCGCAGUAAAAAACAGGGGAGGGGAGGCGAGACGCGGCCGCUGCCUGCCGCACAUGCUUUAAGUCCCACUCCCCACCGCCCCAGAUCUCCGACCUCCCCCAUUCCCCCCUCGCGGCCGCAACCGUCGCCGCCGCAGUCCGGAGCAAGAUCGGCGGGUAGACGGACAGACGGGCCGGCGGGCGCGGCUCUGUAUCUUAUCUGUCGGUGGAGACCGCGUGUGUCGGUUAGGCGGCGGGUGGCAAGGAAGAAUGGCGGCGGGCGGCAGAUCCGUCGCGUGCUGUGCCGCCGUGCUGCUCGCGGCCGCGCUGCUCCUCUCCGCACCGACUACCACAGGUUCGGCACAUCCGUCUCUCUAUGCCUGUCCUGCUUGUGCUCGAUUUCGUGAGCUGGUGAGAUCCGCCGCCCGAUCGCCGUUGCGUCUGAUGCAACGGAGCUCGGAGAGCUGAGAUGAUGCUUCCGUUGCGCGCUGACAAAUGCGGCCCCCGUUUGGUUGGUACUGUCAGCGUCGGUGGCUUCUAGUUUGACCCCACUGCACUCCAAUUCAGUUCGAUCUUUCGAGCUUGCCUCAACUAUGAAUCCAAUUAAGUAGACUUAGCUUCCUUCAACUAUACAUGGAGUUGCCAUCUCAGGCUUAUUUACUAGUGCCGCUGUCUGCUCAACCUGUCGCGAGCUGCUCCAUAUCGAGCUCCUUGGUAGUAGAUCUGCUCAGGAAGUGAACAAGCUGUCCAAGAUCUUACUUAAUUGUAGUUUGCCAUUAAGGGAUCCAGUUACUUUUAAUUGUAGUUCACCAUUAGGCAAAGUGUGUGUGUGGAUCUUCGAAAGUGAACUAACAUUGACUUCAUAUAUUGUGUGAAUUCAUUUCCAUCCUUCUAUAAUUGGGAUCUGUGUUUGAUGUGGAACCUGUGUUUACUCUCUGCAGAGGCUUAUGAUUCGCUGGAUCCAACCGGCAACAUCACUAUAAAAUGGGAUAUUAUGCAGUGGACUCCUGACGGAUAUGUCGUAAGUAGAAUGCCCACUCCAACAGCUGUAUCUCUUUCAUCUCCAGCCUAGUAGGCUCUGGUCAAAUUCUAUUGAAUAACCCAGUUUGACCUGUACAAUAUAAGUCAUGUAACAUGGCCAAUGGCUGAACUAGAAACAUAUGUCACAGACAACAAGAACAACAUCCCAAAUUUAUGUCAGAAGUAUGCUAUGCAUACGCGGUUCCUGAUUUCCCAUAAAAUACCUCCUGCAGGCUGUUGUCACAAUGUAUAAUUUUCAACAAUUUCGGCACAUCGGCGCACCUGGUUGGCAGCUUGGGUGGACAUGGGCAAAGAAGGAGGUUAUAUGGUCAAUGGUUGGGGCUCAGACCACUGAACAGGGUGACUGCUCAAAGUUCAAGGGCAACACCCCCCAUUGCUGCAAGAAAGAUCCAACAAUUGUCGAUUUACUACCAGGCACUCCAUACAACAUGCAAAUUGCCAAUUGCUGCAAGGCAGGAGUCAUAAAUACCUUUAACCAGGACCCAGCAAAUGCUGCUUCCUCCUUCCAGAUCAGUGUUGGUCUUGCCGGAACUACCAAUAAAACUGUUAAGGUGCCAAAGAACUUCACUCUUAAGACUCCAGGCCCUGGGUACACAUGUGGGCGUGCCAUUGUUGGCAGGCCGACAAAGUUUUGGAGCGCAGAUGGGCGCAGGGCAACCCAAGCUCUAAGUAAGUUGCCCAUAUACCGAACUUUUACAUUUUACUUGCUAUCAGUUGCUUAUGUAUGUUCUGGAGAUGAGGUACAGCUACAUCAUAUUAUUCAGUGUGUUCAUAUUCCUUGAUCAUGAUUCCAAAUCUUCAGGUUACAUUACUUGCUAGGUUAGUAAAAAUGAAAACAAUCUAACAAGAGGAAUUUGUUCACAAAGGAGGAAUGCUAAUUGAUAUUUGUUGACAAUAAGUUACUACUAGGCUCAAUAAAUGCAGUCUCUUUUCUUUCUUUUUUUGUUUGUUCUUCACAAAGUAAUAUAUUCUAAUCGCAGAUAGUCAUAGGAAGAAUUCCAUACAAGUUGCAGUUUUGUCUAGAUUUUAUAGUAGAGAGGGUUCUUAACAGAGACAUUCUUUAUCUGCAGUGACAUGGAAUGUGACCUGCACAUAUUCCCAAUUUCUUGCUCAGAAGACUCCAUCCUGCUGUGUCUCUCUCUCAUCGUUUUAUAAUGACACAAUUGUGAACUGCCCAACAUGCUCAUGUGGCUGCCAGAACCCAAGUGGGUCAAACUGUGUGAAGUGAGUUUAUCUGCCUUUUACUCUUAAUUCAUGUCAUAUUAGGGUUCUAUUUUUUAUCUGUAAAGUUUCUAAUGAAUUCUAUUGCAUGUCGCAGUGAGGAUUCACCUAAUCUACAAGCUGCAAUUGAUGGUCCUGGCAAAUGGACUGGCCAGCCUCUUGUACAAUGCACUUCCCACAUGUGCCCGAUAAGAAUCCACUGGCAUGUGAAGCUCAACUACAAGGAAUACUGGAGAGUGAAAAUCACUAUCACAAACUUCAACUUCCGCAUGAAUUACACGCAGUGGAACUUAGUAGCUCAGCAUCCAAACUUUGAUAACAUCACUCAGUUGUUCAGCUUCAACUACAAACCACUUACUCCAUAUGGGGGUGGCAUAAGUAAGUAAACUUGUCUUCCUUGUAGAAAAGAAUAAAAAUAAACCAACCUACCUUCCCUACCUCUCCUGAUGUAGUUUGUCUGUCCCAUUUCAGAUGAUACGGCAAUGUUCUGGGGUGUAAAAUUCUACAAUGAUUUGCUGAUGCAAGCCGGCAAACUUGGAAAUGUGCAAUCGGAACUGCUUCUCCGCAAGGACUCCCGGACUUUCACCUUCGAUAAGGGGUGGGCCUUCCCACGCCGGGUGUACUUCAAUGGUGAUAAUUGUGUCAUGCCAUCUCCUGAAAAUUAUCCAUGGCUGCCGAAUGCAAGCCCUCUAACAAGACAACCAUUGACACUCCCACUCUUGGUAUUCUGGGUUGCCUUGGCUGCUCUGUUGGCUUAUGCAUGAUGAGUGGGAUCAAGAGGUUUAGCAAGCUUCAAGUUGAUGUCAGAUUCCAUGAGGUGCACUGCAACAGGUCAUUUAUUCAUUCAAUUCCAUGGUUGCACAGAAGAGAUGAGGCGAUGCCAAGAAAAAAGUUGAUAUGUGUGUGUGUGUUUUUGUAAGUUAAAGGGCCAAAAUGUAUUUCUUGUUUGGUAUAUAGCAGCCCUACAGCACUUUGGUGAACUUAGUUACUGCAAAUUAGGUAAUUACAGUUGCACCUUUUGUAUUUUAUAGCAAACCCAGAAUUUUUCAUUGGAUUAUAUGACUGCUCCACUUCUUGUAGUAAAUGCAAGGCUUCCCUGAUAAUGUUUUAAAGAUUGGUCGAAUAGAAGAGACAAUGGUGAUUGAGAUAACUAAAUUCUGGCGUCUUGAUACAUUUUGCUGUAGAGAUUAUUGAGCUAAAUUGCUAAGCUACAAGCAUUCACUGUUCACUGAACCAAAAUUACAUUACUCAAAAACUUAGAACAAGAAUGAGUGCAGCACUCGUUUAUGUGCAACUGGAAACCACAAACUGCAAUUUGUAUGUAAUAAUCGGGUUACAGAGAAACAAACGUUGCCUUGCAGAAUCAAUUAAGAUUAUAAUCUGUCAUUAACCUUGGAAUAAGAAUAAUUCCGUUGCCUUGCAGAAUCAAUUAAGAUUAUAAUCUCUAGUUCGCUGGCUAGAGAACUCUAGGAGCCUAAUUGGUUGCGUGUUCUCACAUAAUAAAAGCUUCCGGGGCCUCUGAGAACGGCAAAGGGAUGUUUUCCUGGUUGUUGUGGGCUACUGCAUCGUUGGAAAAUGUCCUGAUGGGUAUAUCCUUUAAUGAAACUAGAUCACAGAUGUAAACUUCAAUGAAACUAUACCACAGAUUUUUACAUUUGAUACUAAAGCUGUAGUCUGGAGGUAAGUACAGAACGGCAGAUUCAAUAAUUGAUCAAACAGAGCAACUAGCUCCAUUUAAACUAAAAACAGAACCAUAACAACGAAUACUAUAUUACUGCAACUACAUCAUAAGAACAACAAACGAAUUCAUGGAAACAACUUACCUUAGAUUGGAUGCAGGAACAAAUUCUUCCUAACCAUCUACCAUGAAGAAAAACACCCAGCCCUUCAUGGUGCUGCUGCUCUGAAGCCUCGGAGCUCAGAACUGGGCAUAUGCCACCCAUGGCCUGGUAUAUAUAUCCAUAAGAAACCAUAUAUGAAGUGCAGUCUAAGGAUGGGCUGAUGGUUCGCCAGUAGCUUUUGGUUUGUUGGCUGGUUAGUUCAGAGC
rnacentral:lncRNA from 1 species